AACGAACGCUGGCGGCAUGCCUAACACAUGCAAGUCGAACGAGACCUUCGGGUCUAGUGGCGCACGGGUGCGUAACGCGUGGGAACCUGCCCUUAGGUUCGGAAUAACUCCCCGAAAGGGGUGCUAAUACCGGAUAAUGUCUUCGGACCAAAGAUUUAUCGCCUUUGGAUGGGCCCGCGUUGGAUUAGCUAGUUGGUAGGGUAAAAGCCUACCAAGGCGACGAUCCAUAGCUGGUCUGAGAGGAUGAUCAGCCACACUGGGACUGAGACACGGCCCAGACUCCUACGGGAGGCAGCAGUGGGGAAUAUUGGACAAUGGGCGAAAGCCUGAUCCAGCAAUGACGCGUGAGUGAUGAAGGCCUGAGGGUUGUAAAGCUCUUUUACCCGGGAUGAUAAUGACAGUACCGGGAGAAUAAGCGCCGGCUAACUCCGUG
rnacentral:rRNA from 1 species